UACAGAGGUCUCAAGCGUUGUUCGGAUUCAUUGGGCGUAAAGGGUGCGUAGGCGGCGCGGUAAGUCGGGUGUGAAAUUUCGGGGCUUAACUUCGAAACUGCAUUCGAUACUGCCGUGCUUGAGGACUGGAGAGGAGACUGGAAUUUACGGUGUAGCGGUGAAAUGCGUAGAUAUCGUAAGGAAGACCAGUGGCGAAGGCGGAUCUCUGGACAGUUCCUGACACUGAGGCACGAAGGCCAGGGGAGCAAACGGG
rnacentral:rRNA from 1 species